UCUGCACAGUCGAAGGAGAAACAGACCCACGAGACGAGACGAAGAGUGGGAGACACAGACAAACACUGAGAGAGAUAGAGGGAGGAGGAGGGGGGGGGACGACAACUGUGAAGUUCAACUUCAGGAGUGUGACACUGGAGGGCAUGAGGAGAGUGAGACAGAGGAAAGGAGUAAAAACUUGUUGUCUCAGAGAGGCACUUCACACUCACUUCACAGCAAUUCCUGCAACCUGUUGAUCAGGACAGACAUUCACACGGAGCGACAGUAAAGUGUGCCUGCUGUUCAAAUGUACUGUAAUAUUGGCACUGGAAUAUUGCCCUGAUCUGUGGUCUGCCACUGUGGACCGGCUCUAUUACAAAGGUCAGACGUAAAUAGUUCCUUUGAAUGAGAUGGCUUAAUUUCUGUCUUUCUGUCUGCUUGUAUGUCUGUCAGUCUGUCUGCUUAUAUGUUUGUCUGUGUGUCUGUUUGAUUUAGGGAUUAUAUUUCCAACCGUUUGAAUGACUUGCCACAUGAUUAGUUUGCCUCUACCUGUUUGUCUGCCUUCCUUUACAACUGUCUGCUCACAGUACGUCAUCCGUCUACCACAUGCGUGUCAUCUAUCUGUCUUCACGUCCAUCAGUCUGUGUGCCUCUCGGCGGGGCGUCGUUGGCAGCAAAGAGUGAGAACAGAGGUCAUAAAAAGUUUCAAGAAAAGCAGCCGAGAGUUGUAAUGGUAGUGGCGAAGCGAGGGCCGGAGCCGCUCAAACAUUCCUCUCAUUGUUCAGAGGCCCUGUAAGUCUGUGAGCUCCCAAACCUCCAUGAAAGGAAGGGAAUCCAGCAGCUACUGUAGCUAAUAGUCUCAGCUAUAGCUCAGGGCUGGCGGUCUCUGUCUUCCUGUCCGCCGUCCUGUCUAGUGCUCCUCUGGGAGUGUUGGUAUAGAAGAAAUUUGGCAGUGGAGGGCGAAAAUGGAGCUGAAGGAGAUUAAAGCUGAAGCGCAGAAGAAAGGAGUUAAUGUAGUUCAGCAGAAGGAUCUGUUGCUUUGCUCUGCUCUGACUUUAGGUAACCUCUACGCCGAAAGACACGGGGAAGAGGAGAGAGGUAGGAGUUAUUCUGCCUUUUAAAGCGAGGAAUCAUUAGAUUGUAAAGCCUGUGAGGGAAAGCUAAAGGGAUGAAUGGAUGGAGGAAAGAGGGGACAGAGGGAGCUUGAGCAGGAGAGAAGGUGGGGAUCCAGGACUGCCUUGGCUUUGGUGGUGUGGCUGGGUGGGUGGGUGUGCCCAGCAGCAAUUCGUAGGAAUGGGCCCAGGCUCAGGAAACCGUGGCGUAGUGGAAUAAAAGUGUGUGUGUGUGUGUAGUUUCUGCAUCCAUUUGUGCAUGUGUGGUUCAGUUGCAGCAGGGCGGCUGUACACUAAGUACAGGGCUGGUGGUGGUAAGGGUGUUUGGCAACGAAUCAGGCUGAGGAUAGGGUUACACGCAUUGGGCUACAGGGAGCGGACCACGGGCUUGGGCUGGGCUGAGGCUAGCUUUACAGCCCGAAGAGACUUUGAGCUCUUCUCUCUUUUUUUUUUUUUUUUUUUUUUUUUUUUUUUUAAAUCUGGAGCUGGAAAUACUUUUUUUUAUUCUCAGACUAAUGUCCCACAUGUGGUGCGUUCCAUUGAUUCCAGGCCAGCCAAUGAACGUCCCCCUCUUUUGAUUCAGGAAAACUGCAACAGAGAGGGCCCAUAGUAGAGCGCGAGUCCUUGUUUGAAUGUCACUGAAUGUCACGGCCUCAGCAAUAAUUACGCCCUCACACGCAACAUGAAACAAAUACAAUCUUGCUCACAUGCGCACACACAACCCAGACGCACAGUCUGUCUGGUAGCAAGAGGGCCAGGGUGUGGUGCCGCUGUACUGUAAGGUGUGUGAGUUCAAAGAUCUAGGUUUAAGUCGCUGAGAUGUGUUCUGUGUUGUCACUGUUGGUGUUAGCCUGAAGUAGCAUCAUUGCUCAGAUUAAACACUGAAAACACUGUCUUGAAAACAGUUUCAGACAUGUGCUCAUCUCGUCUCCUUUCUGAACUCAGCUGAUCUGGUUAAUAGUUACAUUUCUUCCUCCGCUCUCAUCAGUGUGUGUGUGUGUUUAAGAGGUGUAAUUGACACGACAGCAAUUAUAAAAAGCAAAUGUGCCUUAUUUACACUUAAGAGGGGAAUUCAGACAUUAUUGUAACCCUUGUGCCCCAGUGUUGACAUAACGUCUUGAGACUUAGAUAGAUUGAUUUCACAUGAGGCUGGGGCUGGAAACAAACUGCCCUCUGUGAAAUUCUCUGAUGCAAUGGAAAGAUACAAAAGUUGUGUAGGCUUUGGUUUGAUUCCUAAUUAUUAAUAAAGUGCACAAUAGCAGAGUGCAGCUGGCCCGUGGGUCACCCCGCUCAGUUUGCUCUGUGAAGUGUUUCACAGCCCGGAGGUGUGAAUGAUGUCAGACUGGUAUGUAUUUGUACUAUUUCUGGUUAUGAGACAGGGCGAGAACCCGGCUAACGCACAUGCCAUGUUUGCCCGGCAGCCCACUGACAUAACUGUGUUUGUUUAUUGAUAGUGAGCAUAUGUGCGGAGAGGCAGAUUGCGUCUUGCCUGUGAGCAUGUGUGCAUUUCUUAGUGCAUCUGUGAGUGUGUGUGUGUGUGUGUGUGUGUGUGUGUGUGUGUGCGCAAGGGCAUAGGGAGAGAGAAGAUAUGUGUUGAAGCAACAAGGGGUUGAGAUCCAGCUGUCUCAACAGAGGCUUUUCCACUUAACUGUGUGCCCUUGUGUAAACGGCAAUGUCAAUUCUGGACUGUGGCUGAAGGGGAGAGACAGUUUGAGAAAACAGCCAGUGGCCACGUCUACACUCGGGGCCUCCAUAUGUCGUGUGCGCGAAUAUAAACUCAGCAGAACACACACAAAGCGUAAAAGUGUACACCCUAAAACCUUCAAAGCACCCACACACAAGGCUGCAAGCCACGAAGACGCUCUCUAAAAACAUUUUGACUCUACUGGGGCACAUCUGCUGCCGAUCGUCACCCGGUGACACUAAUUUUCCUAUUCUAUGCCUCCAUCAGGAUGCAACACGUUGGCACAAUUACGAGCUGCCAAUAAGUCGCAGCCCACAUGGUAGAACCUUAUCAUUAUUCCUAACCAUAAUAAACAUCCAAUUUGAGAAAAGUGUAACAACAGGAUCGCUUGGCUCCGCCGCAGCACCCAAAAAACACGACAGGCCAAAUGCAAAAGUGAGACGUGUUGGGAUCCUCACAGCGAGUGUUUGAGGUGAGGUGUUGGACAGCGUGCGUCAACCAGAAUGCCGUCAUUACAGGGGAAGGGAAGGAAUGAGCUCAUAGACAUUAACGGCUGCGGGUUCGACGGGGGGAACGCGGAGGGGAAGAGAAACCGAUGGAAAAGAUGAAAAGGCAGAGAAAAUAACACACGAGACGCGCCACUGCCAGAUGAAAGGAUGGCGGGAUACAGGGUUUUAGCUUGAUGGAGGAGAGGAGUUAAAAAGGAGUUAGCGCACUGUCUUUGAUGGGUGCCAGGACCUUAAAUGACCUUCUCUCUUGAGACAGCACGUUUUAUUGUGAACAUGUGGAGGCCGGCCGAGGGAUAUAAAGCACAUCUCAUAAAAUAAAACUGAAUUUAAGGAGACGCUCACAACUUAAGUGUUCAGAGAUUCACUUUUAGGUAGUUUUCCUUGAAUUGAGUGACAAAAACACCUAAAACUGAAUGCUUCAUGUUGUGUAAUCUGUGAGACGGUGUGAAAGGCAGCCAUUCACAAAGACAGAGAGCAGACAGAGAAAGAAACAUCGGUUUUCUAAUUUCUUCCCUGCAGCAACAAAAUCACAGUGUGUCCUGAGUGGUUAUAAUUUGGUGUUAUUGGUUGAUCUGACCACAGUCUGACAGAAAGAACAUUGGCCUGGAGGGAACGAGAAAAUAUCUGCACAUCAAACAGAGUUUUCAUUCUGCACCAACCAAGUUCUAGGUUGGCCGCUCAGAGAUUGGAAUACAACCUCUCUGAGUGGUAUUUAAAACAUUCAGCUUCCUUAAAGAUGCUUUUGUACUAUUUUCGGAAAGCUCUUUCCAAACUCUCGGACCUGGCUGCAGCAGACUUGUGACAACAGUGAUACAGUGGUAGUGACAGGGCCCAAGUUCACUGUGUCCCUGGCACAGCUCAGCAGCAGGCCCGCAGUGACAACAGGCAGCCGGCUAAAACUUAUUUAGAGUCUGGAGUUCCCCAAAAGUGUCCCACUGACUCAUACCUUGUACAUGGUGGAAUAUUCAUGCAGCUGAAAAUAAAGAGACUUGAAGUGGACGGCAAAUUGCACUCAGUGUGGAUCUGGAGCUUAGGGAAUGACACUCGAUUAUGUAAAUAUGUCCUGUCCAGACAGGUAAAAAUCACCAAAAAGGAAUUCAGAGUAAUAGUUGCUGCUGCAGGGGUGAUGAGUGCACAUGCUUGUUGAUAUCAGGUCUCAUUUGACAGGCACUAAUAAGAAGCAGUAACAUAUAAAUACAGUAUCAGCUUUCUUUACUCGACAUGGAAUUUCCUCAUAAUUUCUGAGGAGAUUUUUGCAGCAGCGGCAGAGGAAACACGGCCCACUGCUCUCCUGCCCUUUUUUUUCUUUUAAUUUCCCCACACAAGGGGCACAGAUAAAGGGGUAGAGCAGAGCGGGGCAAACGUCUUUAAAGGGAGUGCCACUUGACUGGCCACUUCCUUCUAACCUAAUUCUCCAUUCUGUCAUUGAAAAGCUAUUUUUAUAAGAGGCCACGGGAAGUCUGGGAGUUGCGAGAACCACGUACAUACAGUGCACACAGGGCUGAGAAAGCGCAGUGACUACGACCUGUGAAUGACAAAGACAUAGCACAUCAGACUACUGUGAUAAUUCUUUCACACAGAGGUAUAGAUGAGGGAUAGAGCAUCUUACGUGAGAGAUGACAAUGAUGGAGGAGGUUUAUUAUUGUGUGUACUAUUUGUAUUUGCAUGCUUUCAAGUCCCUCACUCAUCACAAACUGUCUAGUCGUCUCUGUUGGCCAGGGGAAUUCCUGGCAGAGUGAUUUUUGAGACUACAGGACUGAAUCACAUUGCCAGGGAUUUCCAAUGGCUGACAUGAAGAAAGCAACCUCUCUCGAGCACACACACACACACACACUAAUUUGCUAACUCACACACAGUCACUCCCAUGUUACUGAUUUGCAUAUGCUGUCACGAACAGAUGCUCGACCUGGCUGUGCGGCGGCAGGACUUAACCCACAUGUGAACAGUGAGUGUCCGCCAUGUUCACAGUGGUUAAGUUCUGCCGCCACAGGGCUGCAGCCGGCAGCGGGAGAGUAAAGGUCAGGGAGGGGCUGCACUGCAUCAAACCAUUGCUCUUCACAUCAACACCAGACCUCAGAUGAGCAUGACAGCAUCUCCUGCAAAAAGCUGCUCACACAUGGUUGAGCUACGGCCAUUUUAUAUCCUCUAGAGACCCCAGAUAUGAAACUCCUUAGAUUUAAAGCGUCUCUAUCCACCUGUUUUAAUGAUAUUUUCAAUUUAAAGGUCCAGUGUGUAGGAUUUAGGGAAAUAUAUUAGCAGAAAUUGAAUGCAAUAUAAGUAUAAGUAUGUUUUCUUUAGUGUACAAUCAUCUGAAAAUAAGAAGCAUUGUGUAUUUGUUACCCUAGAAUGAGCCGUUUAUCUCUACAUAGGUAGCAGGUCCUCGUUCACAGAGAUCACCAUGUUGCACUGCCAUGUUUCUACAGUAGCCCAGAAUGGACAAACCAAACACUGGCUCUAGAUAGGGACAUUUAUGUUUUCAUAUCAGCUAUCAUAGUUAGCAGCUCGUCCAUGACGAGUGUUGGAAAAACAGAGAUCUUUUAACAUGAAACUGCUUUAUUCAGUGUUUUUAUCGGUUUAAAUCACUGAUUCUGGUUGUUUUGGAGAUAAAGAGAUCUUUGCGGAUAAUUCAGCUCAUGGUAAAAACCUCCUGAACGUCUGGAUCUUAAGUUAUCAGAGAAUAAAGGUAAGCACACAUGAGCAGGUGCUGGGCUAGUGGCCCAUCUCUGACAAGCCAAACUGUGUCAGAGAAACACUGAUUUCUAACGUGCAACUGCUUUAUUCAGUGAUUUUACCGGUUUAAAUCACCUUAUCUGUUUGUUGUGAAGAGAAAGAGACCUCUGUGGAUAAUUCGGCUCAUGUUAAAAACCUCCUGGACGUCUGCAUCUGAAGUUAUCAGAGAAAAUAGGCGAGCACACAUUAGCAGGUGCGAAGCUAACAGUCUGCAACGAGCCAGAUUGCAUGAGAGAAACACAGAUUUGUAAAGUGAAACUACUUUACCAGUUUUAAUCACACACUCCGUCUGUUUUGGAGAGGAGCAGACCUCCCAGUAAAAACCUCCUGAACAAUGAACACUGAAGGAAAUCUAACCGAGAGAAGUUCCAGCUGGUUGCAAUCUGCGAUCCUCACCACAAGACACCACUAACCCCCCUUAAAUCCCCUUAAAUCUCAAACACUGCUCCUUUAAAUGAAGACGCUGUAACCUCCCUCAAAAUUGUACAUGAAACAAACAUAAAUGGCAUAUUUCCAUCAUAGUUAAAUCAUCAUCUGCACUGGUUUAAGGUCUGGUUUAUCUCAUUGUAUCCUCAGCUCUGCAGCAGUUUAAUGGUACCUGACUGGAGAAUUAGGGCCGACAGCUGUUGGAUGGAGAUGUGCAUAAAUUUGCAUUUUCUUUCGCAGCUUGCCGGGAAAUUCGCUUUUAAGAUUUGUGCUAAAUUUGGAUGGAAACUUGAUUACACAGUAUAGUGUAUCUCGUUGCCAGGUGACAUGUGAAAACUGCUCAUCACACACUUCCCCCUUUAAAACUGUCGAUAAAGAGGCAAAAAACGCGCCGCUCCUCAUUCGCUAGGUUUGACUCAAAGAGUCUGGUUUUACGGGCCCACCAAAGUCAAUCUCACACGUAAUCACCUCUGCCAUGACAGCGUGUGUGUUGAGGGUUCGACAGCGUGUGCAUGUGGUCCACAGAUGAUUCACUAUUGUGUUGUGAAAGUGUAAAAAAAAGGCGAUGCACUGUGGCUGAAAGGGGUUUAUGGGAGCUGGUAUCAUUGCCCAGAAGCUGCUGGUAAUAAUAACUGGUAAUGUGUUGAAUUAGCUAAAAUUGUGGGGCUUCAGUGUGUCAGUGUCUGCUAAAUGUCAGCUGUCUCAUUAGUGUCGAAGAAGGCUCCUGUUCCUGUAGGGCGAGCAACAUGUCAUCCUAUGUCGUCGUUUGUAUCACUGGCUGCCAGGGUCUCUCAGAGUAUGUGUGUGUGUGUGUGUGUGUGUGUGUUUAACUUUGUGUUUGCGUUCAUAUUUUGUUUACACUUCCACCUGUUGAUGUCUGCAUGAGCAUCAGUGUCUGUCUGGCUUUUCUGUGUGUGUGUGCGUGUGUGUGUGUUUGUGUGUAGUCACCUGUGUCUAUCCUCCCUCGCCCCAUGCUGGGUCGGUCUCCUGUGCCUGCUGUGCUGAUAAUCAGUGUGUGACGUCGGCUGGCUCAGUUCAGCAGGAACAGGGGACUGGUCUCCUUUCCACACACACAAACACACUGCUCACUUUAAUGCCACCGUAAUAACUGCAGCCUGAGAUAUCAUUUUAAUGUCUCGAUGCAUACAUGCAUGUUUAAGUGACUGUGUAUUAUGGUGUAUUAUUUUGGGUGAUGUUAACCAUUUAUUUGUCUCACUGAGCUCUCAGCUGCAAUAUGUUUUUGUCAGCAGAUGUACACACUCACAUUCUGUAAUGAAACACUUUGCUCGGACUUAUGCCUGAUCUCUUAUUGCAUUUACAGACCAUUAAAAUCUUUAAUUUACAUGCAACCAUAUAAGCCACUUAAGUCAGAAAUCAAUGUGAAAAUAAGAAAAAGAUAGGCUUUGAAAUGCAUAGCUUGCCUGUAAUAAAAUAUAUUUUAUGAGGUCUACUGCGAUGUUUGUUUCAGUGUUGUUGUAUGUGUUGCUUUAAAGACAAAAUUGCCUUGUAAUGUUUCAUUGUCUGUUGUUGGUACCAUGUUUGUAAAAAAAAUAAAAUAAAAUACAAGAGGGGCUAAUUUGCAGUUUUUUCCUAUGUGCCUUUGCUUUUCGAACCAUAAUGUAUAAAAUGUGAUGGCUGUGUGUGGUUUAAUUAAAUUUAUUAAAAUUCUUUAAAAAGAAUAAAAUAAAAA